rnacentral:snRNA from 1 species
GUGCCACUUCGGCAGCACAUAACUAAAAUUAAAACAAUACGGGGAAGAUUAGCACAGCCCCUGUGCAACAAAUUUGUGAAAAUCUGAUGGUGUCC